GACAGAGGCCCCAAGCGUUCGGCGGAAUCACUGGGCUUAAAGCGUGUGUAGGCGGAUCGUUAAGUGUCUUGUGAAAUCCCACGGCUCACCCGUGGAACUGCUGGGCAUACUGGCGACCUUGGGCCAACUAGGGGCAGCCGGAACAAGCGGUGGAGCGGUGAAAUGCGUAGAUAUCGCUUGGAACGCCGAAGGUGAAAACAGGCUGCUGGGGUUGUGCCGACGCUGAGACACGAAAGCCAGGGGAGCAAACGGG
rnacentral:rRNA from 1 species